UUGUCACUAUGGUCCCAUAGCCACUCAGGUUGUGUAACUGAUGCACAAUGCAUGGAUGAGUUUGUCUGAACAGGAAUGUUUCCACAAGCGUGGAGUGGAGAGUAAUGGGUCAUUAUGAGCACUGAACCAGGACAACAACAUGUGACUGUGCUGCUGUGCUUCUUGUCACAUGCACCGAAUACAACAGAGCGCCUGAGUGGCGCAGAGGGCUAAGGCACUGUGUCUCAGUGCAAGAGGCGUCACUGCAGUACCUGGUUCGAAUCCAAGCUGCAUCACAUCUGGCCGUGACUGGGAGUCCCAUAGGGCGGUGCACAGUUGGACCAGCGUUGUCUGGGGGAAUUGAACCGUGGACCGGUCGACCAGAAGCACCAUGACCAGUGUUAACUCCCCCGCCUGCCUCUUGGCUCGUAACCAGUUCUAUAGAAACACAACAAGCCCUACAGAGAGUAUAAAGCCUACUGCAGUCGACAGCCUCUCUGAUUGGCCGAUGCUACAAGUACUGGUCUGGGUGACCAUGUCAACACCAGCAGGGUUCCCAGGAGCAGGGGGGGAUCUCUAAAGGAUGGUGGGUCAGUGUGGUUCUGGGGAGCCCCAAACCAUACACCACCCCAGUCCAGCCCCCCCAGCCCAGAGCACUCGCCCAGUGCUCCCGUCGAGCACCCCGGUCCAGCGCCCCCCAGUCCAGCACCCCGGUCCAGCUCCCCAGUCCAGCACCCUGGUCCAGCGCCCCAGCCAACAGAACGGUCCAGUAGAGACACACCACCACCACCAAUCAACAGGUUGAAACACACAGAGGGAAAGAGUCCAAGAGGAAGACGAGGGAGAAGACAUCUUGCUCUCUGUUCUGUCCUCUCAGCACAGAAAUAUGGACUUGAUCAAGCCGACCGGUGUUGGACAUGUUUUUACAUUUUGCGUCACUCCCUAUCUUACCCCGACUCCUAUUUUUUGAAGGUAGAAAGAAGAGUGAGGGGGAAAAAAGAGGCAAUUUCUGCAAGCGCUCUCUAAAACAGACUUCGGCCUUCAUUCAAUCUCUAUUCGCUGAAGCCUCUCUAAAACAGACUUCAGCCUUCAUUCAAUCUCUAUUCGCUGAAGCCUCUCUAAAACAGACUUCAGCCUUCAUUCAAUCUCUAUUCGCUGAAGCCUCUCUAAAACAGACUUCAGCCUUCAUUCAAUCUCUAUUCGCUGAAGCCUCUCUAAAACAGACUUCAGCCUUCAUUCAAUCUCUAUUCGCUGAAGCCUCUCUAAAACAGACUUCGGCCUUCAUUCAAUCUCUAUUCGCUGAAGCCUCUCUAAAACAGACUUCAGCCUUCAUUCAAUCUCUAUUCGCUGAAGCCUCUCUAAAACAGACUUCGGCCUUCAUUCAAUCUCUAUUCGCUGAAGCCUUACAGAUUACGCGCUAUCUAAAUUUAAAGGUAAUUUCUGAUUGAGUCGACAUAUGACAGGGUUUACCGUAAAUGCAGUCUCCACUAACAUUUGGCUUUUAAAUUUCAAUCAUGCCAUAACGCUGAACUUCUGCGAUGUGGAUUGAAAAGACCCCCCUGUAUAUUAUUACAUACAUUGGUAUAAGAUAUGAAUUCAAUCAAACACACAGUCCAGUUAUACCCCCUCUGCUCAUACUCUCCCCUCCCUUCCUUUCUUCGUUUCAUAACAUAACUGCAGCACAACUGAAGGAACAAGAUGUUCCCUUUUCUCCUGAUACUGGCUGGUUGCCAGGCAGCAAUAUGGGAACAUUCAUGCAUGAGUUGAAUAAAACAGCUGCCUGAUGCCUGGUUCAGAGCUAGAGAGAGACAGGCCGACAGGCAGCAGAAACCUGUUACCUUGUUCAGAGCUAGAGAGACAGGCUGAUUCUCUCCCUCCCUUUCUCUCUCUGUGAGAAGGAUGUACCCACUCACACACAACUACCCAGUGACCUGGAAAAACUGCUGCUCAGUCUAAAGAUAAAAGCACUUCAGUAACA